rnacentral:tRNA from 1 species
GCUGGAAUGGCCGAGUGGUUAAGACGGUGGACUUAGGAUCCCCUGGGGUGUAUCCCUGCGCGGGUACGAACCCCACUUCAAGCA